AUACUUACCUUGUUUGGGUGACUGCGAUCAUGAAGGCGGUUCACCACAGGCUGGUCCCUGCAUUGCACAGCGCGGAGGAACUGUCUGUCCAACGGCCUUCGGGUCAUUGGCAGGCGUAUUCUUUGGCUUCCUUCCACAACGUGGAUUC
rnacentral:snRNA from 12 species